CAUGUCGAUGGACGAUGACCCUUUCAGCAGCACGGCAUGUGCGUGUAUCAAUUUAAAUUUGUGCAUGUCUACCUUCAAAUUGAUGCAGCACAGUUUAUCUCAUCUCCAGUGAACGCACUGUAAACUCAUCAGUUCUAUUACAACAGAUAUCUGUGAUGCUGGCAAAUAGCAAUGGCAUGCCAAGUAUUAAAGAUAACAAGAAAGAAGAGUUAUAUUCUGUUGGGCGUCUUUGUGCUGCUGUCGGUGGCUUACACCUUCUGGUCUGCCAAACACCACCAGGCAUUGGUGUACUAUGUCAGAAACCGGUUCAUCAACCAGGCGUUGUACCGUGCGCCAGAGCUGAACGCCGCCGAGCUCAACAACACGCACCUGCUCCUCUACUGGACACCCUUCUUCCAGAAUGUGGCCUUCGACGGCUUCGGCCGGAGACCGUUCGCCAAAUGCCCGGUGAGGAACUUUAAAGGGACCCUCCCACCUUAAUAUUAGUUUUGAGUUGAGAUAGCCAAGUUUGCGGCCAGGCUCAGAAACCACCAUUUAUCCUGGUCGCAACCCCCGCAGCUUUAUGGUGUUCAAGAAAUU